rnacentral:tRNA from 1 species
GGUGGCUCAGUGGUAGAGUGUUUGCCUUGCAUGCAUGAGGCACUAGGUUCAAUUCCUCAGCACCA